rnacentral:rRNA from 1 species
AGUGAACGCUGGCGGCGUGCCUAAUACAUGCAAGUCGAACGAUGAAGCUUCUAGCUUGCUAGAAGUGGAUUAGUGGCGCACGGGUGAGUAAGGUAUAGUUAAUCUGCCCUACACAAGAGGACAACAGUUGGAAACGACUGCUAAUACUCUAUACUCCUGCUUAACACAAGUUGAGUAGGGAAAGUUUUUCGGUGUAGGAUGAGACUAUAUAGUAUCAGCUAGUUGGUAAGGUAAUGGCUUACCAAGGCUAUGACGCUUAACUGGUCUGAGAGGAUGAUCAGUCACACUGGAACUGAGACACGGUCCAGACUCCUACGGGAGGCAGCAGUAGGGAAUAUUGCGCAAUGGGGGAAACCCUGACGCAGCAACGCCGCGUGGAGGAUGACACUUUUCGGAGCGUAAACUCCUUUUCUUAGGGAAGAAUUCUGACGGUACCUAAGGAAUAAGCACCGGCUAACUCCGUGCCAGCAGCCGCGGUAAUACGGAGGGUGCAAGCGUUACUCGGAAUCACUGGGCGUAAAGGGCGCGUAGGCGGAUUAUCAAGUCUCUUGUGAAAUCUAAUGGCUUAACCAUUAAACUGCUUGGGAAACUGAUAGUCUAGAGUGAGGGAGAGGCAGAUGGAAUUGGUGGUGUAGGGGUAAAAUCCGUAGAUAUCACCAAGAAUACCCAUUGCGAAGGCGAUCUGCUGGAACUCAACUGACGCUAAGGCGCGAAAGCGUGGGGAGCAAACAGGAUUAGAUACCCUGGUAGUCCACGCCCUAAACGAUGUACACUAGUUGUUGGGAUGCUAGUCAUCUCAGUAAUGCAGCUAACGCAUUAAGUGUACCGCCUGGGGAGUACGGUCGCAAGAUUAAAACUCAAAGGAAUAGACGGGGACCCGCACAAGCGGUGGAGCAUGUGGUUUAAUUCGAAGAUACGCGAAGAACCUUACCUGGGCUUGAUAUCCUAAGAACCUUAUAGAGAUAUGAGGGUGCUAGCUUGCUAGAACUUAGAGACAGGUGCUGCACGGCUGUCGUCAGCUCGUGUCGUGAGAUGUUGGGUUAAGUCCCGCAACGAGCGCAACCCACGUAUUUAGUUGCUAACGGUUCGGCCGAGCACUCUAAAUAGACUGCCUUCGUAAGGAGGAGGAAGGUGUGGACGACGUCAAGUCAUCAUGGCCCUUAUGCCCAGGGCGACACACGUGCUACAAUGGCAUAUACAAUGAGACGCAAUACCGCGAGGUGGAGCAAAUCUAUAAAAUAUGUCCCAGUUCGGAUUGUUCUCUGCAACUCGAGAGCAUGAAGCCGGAAUCGCUAGUAAUCGUAGAUCAGCCAUGCUACGGUGAAUACGUUCCCGGGUCUU